CCUACGGGCGGCUGCAGUGGGGAAUAUUGCACAAUGGGCGCAAGCCUGAUGCAGCCAUGCCGCGUGUGUGAAGAAGGCCUUCGGGUUGUAAAGCACUUUCAGCGGGGAGGAAGGCGUUAAGGUUAAUAACCUUGGCGAUUGACGUUACCCGCAGAAGAAGCACCGGCUAACUCCGUGCCAGCAGCCGCGGUAAUACGGAGGGUGCAAGCGUUAAUCGGAAUUACUGGGCGUAAAGCGCACGCAGGCGGUCUGUCAAGUCGGAUGUGAAAUCCGCGGGCUCAACCUGGGAACUGCAUUCGAAACUGGCAGGCUAGAGUAUUGUAGAGGGGGGUAGAAUUCCAGGUGUAGCGGUGAAAUGCGUAGAGAUCUGGAGGAAUACCGGUGGCGAAGGCGACCCCCUGGACAAAGACUGACGCUCAGGUGCGAAAGCGUGGGGAGCAAACAGGAUUAGAUACCCGUGUAGUC
rnacentral:rRNA from 1 species